rnacentral:rRNA from 1 species
CGUGCCUAAUACAUGCAAGUCGAGCGAGCCGAACUAAUUGAUUACCUUCGGGUAUGAAGUUAGGGAAGCGAGCGGCGGAUGGGUGAGUAACACGUGGGUAACCUACCCUAUAGUCUGGGAUAUCACUUGGAAACAGGUGCUAAUACCGGAUAAAAGGAGAGAUCACAUGAUUUCUUUUUGAAAGGCGGCGUAAGCUGUCGCUAAAGGAUGGACCCGCGGUGCAUUAGCUAGUUGGUAAGGUAACGGCUUACCAAGGCAACGAUGCAUAGCCGAGUUGAGAGACUGAUCGGCCACAUUGGGACUGAGACACGGCCCAAACUCCUACGGGAGGCAGCAGUAGGGAAUCUUCCACAAUGGACGCAAGUCUGAUGGAGCAACGCCGCGUGAGUGAAGAAGGUUUUCGGAUCGUAAAGCUCUGUUGUUGGUGAAGAAAGAUAGUGAGAGUAACUGCUCAUUAUUUGCCGGUAAUCAACCAGAAAGUCACGGCUAACUACGUGCCAGCAGCCGCGGUAAUACGUAGGUGGCAAGCGUUGUCCGGAUUUAUUGGGCGUAAAGCGAGCGCAGGCGGAAAGAUAAGUCAGAUGUGAAAGCCCUCGGCUUAACCGAGGAAUAGCAUCGGAAACUGUCUUUCUUGAGUGCAGAAGAGGAGAGUGGAACUCCAUGUGUAGCGGUGGAAUGCGUAGAUAUAUGGGAAGAACACCAGUGGCGAAGGCGGCUCUCUGGUCUGUAACUGACGCUGAGGCUCGAAAGCAUGGGUAGCGAACAGGAUUAGAUACCCUGGUAGUCCAUGCUGUAAACGAUGAGUGCUAAGUGUUGGGAGGUUUCCGCCUCUCAGUGCUGCAGCUAACGCAUUAAGCACUCCGCCUGGGGAGUACGACCGCAAGGUUAAAACUCAAAGGAAUUGACGGGGGCCCGCACAAGCGGUGGAGCAUGUGGUUUAAUUCGAAGCAACGCGAAGAACCUUACCAGGUCUUGACAUCUAGUGCCAACCUAAGAGAUUAGGCGUUCCCUUCGGGGACACUAAGACAGGUGGUGCAUGGCUGUCGUCAGCUCGUGUCGUGAGAUGUUGGGUUAAGUCCCGCAACGAGCGCAACCCUUAUUAUUAGUUGCCAGCAUUAAGUUGGGCACUCUAAUGAGACUGCCGGUGACAAACCGGAGGAAGGUGGGGAUGACGUCAAGUCAUCAUGCCCCUUAUGACCUGGGCUACACACGUGCUACAAUGGGCAGUACAACGAGGAGCGAACUUGUGAAGGCAAGCGAAUCUCUGAAAGCUGUUCUCAGUUCGGACUGUAGGCUGCAACUCGCCUACACGAAGCUGGAAUCGCUAGUAAUCGCGGAUCAGCACGCCGCGGUGAAUACGUUCCCGGGCCUUGUACACACCGCCCGUCACACCAUGAGAGUUUGUAACACCCAAAGCCGGCCGGAUAACCUAGUUUACUAGGAGUCAGCCGUCUAAGGUGGGACAAAUGAUUAGGGUGAAGUCGUAACAAGGUA